AAUUUGUUUAAGAAAUUUUUGGAAACAUUUUUCUUAUCAGCGUAUUUUCUCCCAACAAAUAGCCAAACAACAAUCUAAGCACCUCAAGUUGUUAAAUACAAAUCAUCAUAGAUUAACUGUUUCUUGUAGUGAAAAAUGAUACUGACAUUAGCACUGUCCCUGCAACAGCUUCCAUUUCUAGCCAUAUUUUCGCCUGUGCUUCGUUUAUCCUGUUUAGUGUCAAAUCUCAUCAGCCAAUUUGUCACACCACACUGUCUAUAGUAAAGUGGCGUCAUAUCAUGGAUUUUAAUCUUAAUUUUUUUUAUGUCUUGUGGCCAAUGGUUGGACUUGGCUUGCAGUUUUCUCUUGUAACGAUAUCUCUGUGUACCAUCAAAAUCCAAUAUAGAAACGACCGCAUCUAAACAAAAGGCAGGGAAUUUAAGAUGUCGAAUGUAAAUUGUUGACUAAUUUGCCGAUGGAUGCUGAUACAUGAAACUUACUUUAUGAGAUCAUUUAAUCUUCU
rnacentral:lncRNA from 1 species